rnacentral:rRNA from 1 species
GGAACGUCACGGUGUAGAGAUACGCCUUUCCCUUCGGGGACAGCGGUGACAGGUGGUGCAUGGUUGUCGUCAGCUCGUGUCGUGAGAUGUUGGGUUAAGUCCCGCAACGAGCGCAACCCUUGAUCUUAGUUGCCAGCAUUUAGUUGGGCACUCUAAGGUGACUGCCGGUGACAAACCGGAGGAAGGUGGGGAUGACGUCAAAUCAUCAUGCCCCUUAUGACCUGGGCUACACACGUGCUACAAUGGACGAUACAGAGGGUUGCCAACCCGCGAGGGGGAGCCAAUCCCAUAAAACCGUUCCCAGUUCGGAUUGCAGGCUGCAACUCGCCUGCAUGAAGCCGGAAUCGCUAGUAAUCGUGGAUCAGCAUGCCACGGUGAAUACGUUCCCGGGUCUUGUACACACCGAA